GCGCCCUUAGCUCAGUCGGUAGAGCAUCUGACUUUUAAUCAGGUGGUCGUUGGUUCGAAUCCAACAGGGCGCACCA
rnacentral:tRNA from 2 species